GACGAACGCUGGCGGCGUGCUUAACACAUGCAAGUCGAACGGAAAGGCCCUGCUUUUGUGGGGUGCUCGAGUGGCGAACGGGUGAGUAACACGUGAGUAACCUGCCCUUUACUUUGGGAUAACUUCAGGAAACUGGGGCUAAUACCGGAUAGGAGCUCCUGCUGCAUGGUGGGGGUUGGAAAGUUUCGGCGGUUGGGGAUGGACUCGCGGCUUAUCAGCUUGUUGGUGGUGUAGUGGCUUACCAAGGCUUUGACGGGUAGCCGGCCUGAGAGGGUGGCCGGCCACAUUGGGACUGAGAUACGGCCCAGACUCCUACGGGAGGCAGCAGUGGGGAAUAUUGCGCAAUGGGCGGAAGCCGGAUGCAGCAACGCCGCGUGCGGGAUGACGGCCUUCGGGUUGUGAACCGCUUUCGCCUGUGACGAAGCGUGAGUGACGGUAAUGGGUAAAGAAGCACCGGCUAACUACGUG
rnacentral:rRNA from 1 species